CGAACGGGUGAGUAGCACGUGAGCAACCUGCCCUGGACUCUGGGAUAAGCGCUGGAAACGGCGUCUAAUACUGGAUAUGAGAUGCGAUCGCAUGGUCGUGUUUGGAAAGAUUUUUCGGUCUGGGAUGGGCUCGCGGCCUAUCAGCUUGUUGGUGAGGUAAUGGCUCACCAAGGCGUCGACGGGUAGCCGGCCUGAGAGGGUGACCGGCCACACUGGGACUGAGACACGGCCCAGACUCCUACGGGAGGCAGCAGUGGGGAAUAUUGCACAAUGGGCGAAAGCCUGAUGCAGCAACGCCGCGUGAGGGAUGACGGCCUUCGGGUUGUAAACCUCUUUUGGUAGGGAAGAAGCCUUCGGGUGACGGUACCUGCAGAAAAAGCGCCGGCUAACUACGUGCCAGCAGCCGCGGUAAUACGUAGGGCGCAAGCGUUAUCCGGAAUUAUUGGGCGUAAAGAGCUCGUAGGCGGUCUGUCGCGUCUGCUGUGAAAUCCCGAGGCUCAACCUCGGGCUUGCAGUGGGUACGGGCAGACUAGAGUGCGGUAGGGGAGAUUGGAAUUCCUGGUGUAGCGGUGGAAUGCGCAGAUAUCAGGAGGAACACCGAUGGCGAAGGCAGAUCUCUGGGCCGUUACUGACGCUGAGGAGCGAAAGGGUGGGGAGCAAACAGGCUUAGAUACCCUGGUAGUCCACCCCGUAAACGUUGGGAACUAGUUGUGGGGUCCUUUCCACGGAUUCCGUGACGUAGCUAACGCAUUAAGUUCCCCGCCUGGGGAGUACGGCCGCAAGGCUAAAACUCAAAGGAAUUGACGGGGACCCGCACAAGCGGCGGAGCAUGCGGAUUAAUUCGAUGCAACGCGAAGAACCUUACCAAGGCUUGACAUACACCAGAACGGGCCAGAAAUGGUCAACUCUUUGGACACUGGUGAACAGGUGGUGCAUGGUUGUCGUCAGCUCGUGUCGUGAGAUGUUGGUUAAGUCCCGCAACGAGCGCAACCCUCGUUCUAUGUUGCCAGCACGUAAUGGUGGAACUCAUGGGAUACUGCGGGGUCAACUCG
rnacentral:rRNA from 1 species